rnacentral:tRNA from 1 species
UCGCCAGUGGUGUAAUGGUUAGAGCAUACCCACACGGUCAGAGGGAGGUGCGGGUUCGAGUCCCGCCUGGCGCU